GCGGGAAUAGCUCAGUUGGUAGAGCACGACCUUGCCAGGUCAGGGUCAUUCGAGUCCCGUUCCCGCUCCA
rnacentral:tRNA from 1 species